GUGGCAUCCUGGCUAUGAUGCCUAGAAUCCCAGAUAUGUUCCUGUUAACAAAGACUACAUUACCCAGAAUCUUUGCUAUGUCCGCCGCAGAAGACUACCCAAGAUUUCACAGCAGCAUCUUUAAAGACUCUAGUACACCACUUCUUCCGUAUGUUUGGCCAAGAAUUAUCCUUGUCGCUUCCUACGCUGAACCAGGGCUAUGAUAGCCAGAAACUUGUGCGUGCUCCUCGAGGACUGUGAUAGGCAAAGUCCUCUGCGUUGUACUAGGCCAGAAACGCAGAAUCCUCAGGAGUCUCUGUGGAGCCACGGCCCAAGAGCUGAACACAGGUGUCAACCCAGGUGUGCAAGACCAGUCUUCUCUCAGAUCUGCUAGGAGUCUGAAGUCCUUUGGUCCAGGAGAGCUCCUUUUCCAUGCCUUGGCUUCUUUAUGUUUAGGAGCUUAUGCAUAUGUUGGUGCGUGUUUGGUGCAGAAAUCUCGGAAGAAAUACAAGGAGACACAGAAUUCGGAUAAAAUAAUAAAAUUUCUUCUUGCAAGCGGGCAGGAAUGCCAGAAACAGAAAAGUCACCAAGUCAUUCUGCCCCAGCAUCUACACUCAAAAUGGAGAAAACUGCUACUUUACAAAAGGAACCACUCAGUAAAGCACAGUCUAAAAGCCACUGUCUGUGCCAUGAGGAUUCUAGUGGGCAGGAUGCAGCUUCAAAGCCACUGUUCUAUACCAUGGGGAGUCACUCUGGGCAGGGCACAGACUGCUCACCACAGGAGGCCAUGCACAGUUCACCCUCCUCUGAUCACCACGUGGACAAGCCCAGGCCAGCCUGCUGGAUGAUGAAGGAUUCAUGACCCAGCCAUCUUCGCCACUUCAAACAACAGGCAGAAGCAGAGUUCCUACCUGAUCUACAGCUGAGGCAAGGUGACACUGAAGAAUCAUUCAGUUGGUCCCUAGUCUGGAAAGCAACUAUAUAUGAUUACUAAAGCCACUGAGUUUGGAAUGUUGUUGUAACUGAUACGUCUUUUGUUUAUGACUUGUCAUUACUAACAACGCCACAGUUGGUAUGUUUGCACCUCUGAACAGUCUCUGAAUAGGAUAUGUUCCUAGAAGAAACUGCUAGAUCAGGUUUGCGAGAUUUUGGUAAAUAUUGUCAACUGUCUUCCUCAGAACUUAAAGCAAUUAUACUUUCACCAAUAAUAUAAUAGAGGUCUGUUUCCUCACACCUUCUCCAAUUAACCCAGCAUCAAUUUUUUUUUAUCAUUUUUGUCAGUCUUCUUUUUUUGAGGAGGGAUUACUAGGGAUUGAAUCCAAGGAUACUCUACCACUGAACUAUACCCCUAGGCUUUUUUAAAUUUGAUGUGAGAACAGGGUCUCAUUAAUAGUUGUCCAGGCUGCUCUCAAACUCACUACCCUCCUGCCUCCGCUAACUCUGCAUUUCUUUUUUUUUGGUACCAGCAAUCGAACUCGGACCUUGCACUUAUGAGGCAGGUGGCAGAACCACUGAGCUAAAAUCCCUGGCCCAAAUCUGCAUUUCUUUCAUAAUUGCCAUUGACUAUCUUCUCAUAUGAUUGGAAAAAUCAUUGGAUAUCCUUUUAUAUUAUAUUAAUUGUCCUUUAUGUAUAGUGUGUUGUAGUCUAUUAAUUUGUAGAAGCUCCAUCUAGGUUGAGGAAACUAACCUUUUGUCAUCUUUAAAAUAUUUUUUUUGAAAUAGGGUCUUGCUAUGUAGUUCAGGUAGGCCUUGAAUUCAUGGUGAUUCUCCUUCCUCAGCCCCCAGAUUGUGCACCACCACACCUGGCUCUUUAAAUUUAUUUAUUAAAAAAAUUUUUUUUCAGUACUGAGGAUCUAACUCAGGACUUUGUGUUUGUCAGGCAGGUGCAGAGCUACUGAGCUACAUCCCUGGGCCUUUAAAUUUAUUUUUAACUCAUACAUAAAAUAUAAAAAUUAUACAUAUUAAUGAGAUAUUGUGUGAUAUUUUGAUACAUGUAUACAUUGUGUAAUCUAUCUCCUCAAAAGUUUAUCAUUUCUUUAGUUUAAAACAUUCAACUCCUUUCUUCUAGUUUUUUGAAAAAUACAGUGCAUCAGUACUCACCCUACUGUACAAUGGGUGCCAGAACAUCUUGUCCUAUCUAACUGUAACUUAGUAACCACUGGUCAAACUCUUCUCAUUCUUUCUUCUCCCUCCUAUUCCCACAGCCUCUGAUAAACACCAUUCACUCUCAACUUUUAGGAAGCCAACUUUUUUUGUAUUUCACACAUGAUUGUGAUCAUGUGGUAGUUGUAAGUACCUGGCUUAUUCACUUAACAUAACAAUCUCCAGUUCCCUCUUUAUUGUCACAAAUGACAGGGUUUCCUUCUGCUCUGUGGCUCAGUAGCAUUCCGUGGUAUAUAUGUACCACAUUUCUUUAUCCACUCACCAGUUGGACACAUAGGCUGUUUCCAUUUCCUGGUUGUUGUGAACAGUGCUGCAAUAGGCAUGGGAAGGCAGGUGUCUCUUCACAUACUGAUUUCCUUCCUUUGGAUAUAUACUCAGUAGUAGUAUUGCUGGAUCACAUGGCAGUUCCAUUUUCAACUUUAUGAUGAACCUCCAUACUAUUUGCCAUAAUAAUGCUAUUAAUUUAUAUCUCCCCUGAACAGUGUACAAAGGUCUCCUUUUCUGCACAACCUCACCAGCACCUGUUAACUUUUAUCUUUUUAAUGAUGGCGAUUUUAACUGGGGUGAGGUGACAUUUGUGUGAUGAUUUUGUAUCCUGCUACAUUGCUGAAUUUGGUUAUUAUUUCUAGGAGUGUUUUGAUGACAUUUUUUGGGCCUUCUAUGUAAAGGAUCAUAUCUACAGAGUGUUCUACCCUACUGCAACAGAAUACACAUUCUUCUCAGCAGCACAUUGAACUUUCUCAAAAAUAG
ensembl:lncRNA